UACAGAGGUCUCAAGCGUUGUUCGGAUUCAUUGGGCGUAAAGGGUGUGUAGGUGGCGCCGUAAGUCGGGUGUGAAAUUUCGGAGCUUAACUCCGAAACUGCAUUCGAUACUGCGGUGCUUGAGGACUGGAGAGGAGACUGGAAUUCAUGGUGUAGCAGUGAAAUGCGUAGAGAUCAUGAGGAACACCAGCGGCGAAGGCGGCGUCCUGGACUGGACCUGACGCUCAGGAGCGAAAGCGUGGGGAGCGAUCCGG
rnacentral:rRNA from 1 species